GACUGCUGUAGCACUAGAAGGGCACUCACUAAAGCUCCGGGACCCACUGCCUGCCCCUGGAAGGCAGCUCUGCCUUUAACCUGUGUGGGCAGGGCCAUGGCACUGAACUCUGUACUCCAAUGUCCCCUCCCUAGGAGGGAUGGUCAUUGAACACCUACCAGUUGGGGAACUUUGAUAAUCAGUGUCACAACAACGUCAUGGAAGAGGCAGUGUGGAGAUGUUGCUAUGGAUGAUGUUGAGUGAGGGUUGAAGGAGGCUACUUCAUUCACAGACGUCCACUCACCUGGCUAUGCACAUUCAUCUGGAAUGGAAGGUGGUGACUAAGGAACCAGCAGAUAAGAGAUUUGUAUCUUUUAGGGUUGACCUACAUAUUUCAUCCCCAAGAAGCUGGAGACCAUGCCACUUAAUACAUCCUGUGGAUAAUAUUAAACAUAUGUGAUAAGUGGCGUUAUCCUGCCCUUGAGAAACUUGUCGUCUAAUUGAGGAGAAGAGACCUCACAUGUGGAACAAUCCAGAAGUACUUAAGGCACCUACCACAAAGGCUUAACACAUUAAAGGACUGAGAAUUAUUUGGCUAUAAAAAAGAAUCUGCUAAAUUAAUGGCAUGGCCAAUACAUGCCAUAUUUCCAAAGAGGGUGCUACAAGUAUGAGCCAAAAUUACCUGGGGAUGUUCGAGAAGGCAGUGAGUGUAUAAGCUGAACUUUAAGGAAAUCUGUAGGAGUUGAAGGGGUAGAGGGGAAAAACAAGGGCAUUCUAGGUGGCAAGGCUGCUGCAUGCCCAUCCACAUGUCCCCAGGUAGGUCCGGGAGGAAUUGGAGAGGUUGGAAAAGGGGUUGGAGCGGCAGGUUUCAUAAAAGUUUACACCCGGUUCUCCAGGUAAAGGCAGCAUUUGACAAGUUGCCUUUUCUUUAAAUCAGAGUAGUGGCAGGUACGAAAGCAUGGGCUGAGGGCCACUGGCUGUGGUGAACAGGAUGUUCUGGGUGAUACAGGGAAUAGGGUGUCCUGCUGGGGAGGUCCUCUAAUGGACCCAGCAGCGAGAGAAGAGGGCAUGAGAAUGAUGAGUGGCCCCCUUAAGUGCCAAAUGCCUUUCAUAUAUGAUCCCGUUUGUUUUUAUCCUCUGGAAAUCCUGCACAGUGGCUCUGGCUCUCCUUACUUUAAAGAUGAAGAAACUGAA